rnacentral:rRNA from 1 species
GACGAACGCUGGCGGCGUGCUUAACACAUGCAAGUCGAACGGUGAACCCGCUUCGGUGGGGGAUCAGUGGCGAACGGGUGAGUAACACGUGGGCAACCUGCCCCCGGCUCUGGGAUAACUCCAAGAAAUUGGGGCUAAUACCGGAUAUGACCGCUGACCGCAUGGUCUGGUGGUGGAAAGAUUUAUCGGCUGGGGAUGGGCCCGCGGCCUAUCAGCUUGUUGGUGGGGUAGUGGCCUACCAAGGCGACGACGGGUAGCCGGCCUGAGAGGGUGACCGGCCACACUGGGACUGAGACACGGCCCAGACUCCUACGGGAGGCAGCAGUGGGGAAUAUUGCGCAAUGGGCGGAAGCCUGACGCAGCGACGCCGCGUGGGGGAUGACGGCCUUCGGGUUGUAAACCUCUUUCAGCAGGGACGAAGCGAAAGUGACGGUACCUGCAGAAGAAGCACCGGCCAACUACGUGCCAGCAGCCGCCGUAAGAC